rnacentral:rRNA from 1 species
GCGGACGGGUGAGUAACGCGUGGGUAACCUGCCCUGUACACACGGAUAACAUACCGAAAGGUAUACUAAUACGGGAUAACAUACGAAAGUCGCAUGGCUUUUGUAUCAAAGCUCCGGCGGUACAGGAUGGACCCGCGUCUGAUUAGCUAGUUGGUAAGGUAAUGGCUUACCAAGGCAACGAUCAGUAGCCGACCUGAGAGGGUGAUCGGCCACACUGGAACUGAGACACGGUCCAGACUCCUACGGGAGGCAGCAGUGGGGAAUAUUGCACAAUGGGCGAAAGCCUGAUGCAGCAACGCCGCGUGAGCGAUGAAGGCCUUCGGGUCGUAAAGCUCUGUCCUCAAGGAAGAUAAUGACGGUACUUGAGGAGGAAGCCCCGGCUAACUACGUGCCAGCAGCCGCGGUAAUACGUAGGGGGCUAGCGUUAUCCGGAAUUACUGGGCGUAAAGGGUGCGUAGGUGGUUUUUUAAGUCAGAAGUGAAAGGCUACGGCUCAACCGUAGUAAGCUUUUGAAACUAGAGAACUUGAGUGCAGGAGAGGAGAGUAGAAUUCCUAGUGUAGCGGUG